UACAGAGGGGGCAAGCGUUAUUCGGAAUUAUUGGGCGUAAAGGGCGCGUAGGCGGCGAUUCAAGUGACGGGUGAAAUCCCUCGGCUUAACCGAGGAACUGCCUGUCAGACUGGAUUGCUUGAGGCCGGGAGAGGCGAGUGGAAUUCCCAGUGUAGCGGUGAAAUGCGUAGAUAUUGGGAGGAACACCAGUGGCGAAGGCGGCUCGCUGGACCGGUUCUGACGCUGAGGUGCGAGAGCGUGGGGAGCAAACAGG
rnacentral:rRNA from 1 species